rnacentral:rRNA from 1 species
AGCGUAGACGGAUGGACAAGUCUGAUGUGAAAGGCUGGGGCUCAACCCCGGGGACUGCAUUGGAAACUGCCCGUCUUGAGUGCCGGAGAGGUAAGCGGAAUUCCUAGUGUAGCGGUGAAAUGCGUAGAUAUUAGGAGGAACACCAGUGGCGAAGGCGGCUUACUGGACGGUAACUGACGUUGAGGCUCGAAAGCGUGGGGAGCAAACA